rnacentral:rRNA from 1 species
AGAGCGAACGCUGGCGGCAGGCCUAACACAUGCAAGUCGAGCGCCCAGCAAUGGGAGCGGCAGACGGGAUAGUAACACGUGGGAACGUACCUUUCAGUUCGGAACAACCCAGGGAAACUUGGGCUAAUACCGAAUACGCCCGUAAGGGGAAAGAUUUAUCGCUGAAAGAUCGGCCCGCGUCUGAUUAGCUAGUUGGUGGGGUAAUGGCCCACCAAGGCGACGAUCAGUAGCUGGUCUGAGAGGAUGAUCAGCAUCACUGGGACUGAGACACGGCCCAGACUCCUACGGGAGGCAGCAGUGGGGAAUAUUGGACAAUGGGCGCAAGCCUGAUCCAGCCAUGCCGCGUGGAUGAUGAAGGCCCUAGGGUUGUAAAGUCCUUUCGGCGGGGAAGAUAAUGACGGUACCGCAGAAGACGCCCGGCUAACUUCGUGCCAGCAGCCGC